rnacentral:lncRNA from 1 species
AACAGCAGAAGAGUUACAAAGAGAGACAACUGCGGGAGAAACUCGCGAAGAGAAUCUAUCGCUGAAGAAAAUCUUCAUCUCCAAUCUGAGCAGAGACUAGAUAUGUUAAUGACAUGUGGUUCAAUUAAGUACUCACUCCCUUAAACUUUAAAUCUUGAAAGAAAUUAUUCGUUUGUGUGUGUGAACUUGAUUUUGUGUGGUGAAUGUAAACUCAGCUGUCAUUACAAGCAGCAGGAGAGCACCUUGUUAACCUCGUGGUAUACUGCAUGCUCAAAUCAUCAUAGCAUUGUUUAUUUAGGCUGCUCACAUAGCAUUUAUCUUUUUAUUAACAGGCCAAAGAAAAGGACUCACUCUGAAGACUUUUCCAAACAACACUUUGAACAGGUUUCCCCAUCUCCUCCCAUACCAUGGGCCAGAGGAGCAUGACCACCUGGGUGAGGAGUUUCUGAAUUAUCAGACCAUGCCAACCACCUCCCUUCAGGACGAAACUGAGAUGGAAAGCUUCUGGGCUGGAAUGGCAACACGGAAACAUAAGGUGGCAGGAACCAAAGAAUUUGAGAGGCUUGUUGCCGUCGCCAAGCUGGUCCUGGUGUUGCCCCAUUCGAAUGCAGAUGCUGAGAGGGUGUUUUCAGUUGUGGAACUGAACAAAACUAAGACCAGAAAUAGCCUGGCAUUGGAUGGCACCCUGUCUUCAAUAAUGGCCAUAAAGAUGGCCGACCUGGAGCCCUGUUUCAGAUGGGAGCCCCCCUCAGAGGUCAUCAAGGCCUCCAAGAAGGCCACAGGCCAGUACAACCUUGCCCACAGAUCUUAGAAAACGACUAACCAGGUUCUGAUCUGCACCUGAUAUCUCAUUUUUAGUUAUUUUUGUCAUGUGUUGAUCUAUUUUAUUGCUUAAAAAGGCUACUGUUUAAGCACUUUAUUUGUUGCACUUUUUUGUUUGAUGGAACGUGUGGUGGGAGGCUUUGAAUAGUGAAAAAUAUUUCUCCCUAACUAAUCUUGUGUCAUUUUUUGCUGUUCAUAAAUCGUUAAGUGCUCUUAAAUUAAGUGCUCAUAAAUCAUUAAAUACAAUUAUUAACAAUAUAGGUUAGGUUCCAGUUAAGAAUUAGUUGAAUACCAUUGUAAUCAAAAUGUCAAUCAACCUACCUUGGUAAAAUCUUAAACACAGGUCUAUUAAUUAGGCUAUAUUGUGGUACAUAGACAGUCAUUGAGGCACAAGAAUAGUUUUCUGGUUGAAUGUUCAGCUCAAGUCUAAAAGGCCCUACAAGUCAUGAUCAGAUGAACAUGAAUCAGAAUAAGUUCAGGUAUUGCACAUCUUUAGCAUACCACCCAAAAAUCCACUAGAAUGCAGGAAAUAACAUCUACUUAAACCAAAAUGUCCUGGGGGUGGACCUUCAGCUAUGUCUUUGCUUCACAGAAUGUAACCAAUGUUGUCCAUCUCCAGUAGGCCCCACAGUAGGCAGACUUUGGGCCCCAAAAACCAACAGAAUGCAGAGCACAACAUGGGUACAACGCCAAAUUAAUUCCAAUUCCCUGAUAUCUGAGCCACCCAACGUGUGUAGCUGCGUGCGCGGCAACAUUUUCUCACUCCAAGGUUUUUUGAAAAGUUGGCAGCUCUGCAUGCAUAAACACAAGUACACAGUUAGCGCCAACGUCACUGCUGUCAUUAUCCACCGUCUCCAGAACCAUCAAAAGAAGCAGCAAGAAGGAAAGAAAAACGGAAAAUGCGGGGUAGCCUACCAUAUCACAUCCACAGACAGUCACAGGCCAAAUCCCAUUUAGUUUAAAAGGCCAAAUGGCCGAUGGUAUAAAAGACCUCAUAUAUCUGUUAGUACUUCCUCUAGGGUGGUAGAACCUCCGCCUUGAGGGGAGCAAAUCAAAUUCACGGUGUAAAGGGUGUUGGGAGUCCAAUAUGAUGACCUGAGCUUUCUGUGUGGCUCUGACUUGGUACAGGUGGCAAAGAUCAUUUAAAUUUACACCAGUGACUUUUCGGCACACAUUCACAAAUUUUCCCAGCAAAGUUUUGUUUUUCACACUGAGAUUACCAAACCCACAGAUCAUAACAAAUGUCAAAACUGACUCAAUACACAAAGUAUAGAACACUUUCAGCAAUAUCAGUCAAUAUUAAAACAUCUGACCUUCCUUACGAAAAACAAUCUUUGGUAUGCCUUUUUUACAAAUACUUUCAGUGUUGGCAUUGAAGGGAAGUUUAUCAUCCAGGAUGGUUGCCAAGUAUUUAUACUGCUGGACUGCAGUCACAGGCUUCCAUCACUGGUCCAUGACUAUGUUCUUCAUCACACCAAAGGCUGUCUAAUACAGUGUCAUCCCCAAACUUAAGCACAUUCAUGUCUUUAUCGUGAGUCUGGCAAUCAUGUGUAUACAAGACAAAUAAAAGCGGAGAACAAACGCA